rnacentral:rRNA from 1 species
AAAAUGAAUCAAAACUUUCAACAACGGAUCUCUUGGUUCUGGCAUCGAUGAAGAACGCAGCGAAAUGCGAUAAGUAAUGUGAAUUGCAGAAUUCAGUGAAUCAUCGAAUCUUUGAACGCACAUUGCGCCCGCCAGUAUUCUGGCGGGCAUGCCUGUCCGAGC